rnacentral:misc_RNA from 1 species
GAUGAAGAACGUAGUGAAAUGCGAUAAGUAAUGUGAAUUGCAGAAUUCAGUGAAUCAUCGAAUCUUUGAACGCAUCUUGCGCUCCUUGGUAUUCUGAGGAGCAUGCCUGUCUGAGUGUCAUUAAAUUCUCAACUACACUGACUUUGAAUUGGUGUGGCUUGGAUUUGGGGGGAAAAUUGUUGUGGGCUUUUUGUAUAGUCUGCUCCCCUGAAAUUGAUUAGCGGUACCUUUGUGGAACUGUCUACAGGUGUGAUAAUUAUCUACAUCUUAGACAUCUGCUGGAAUGCUGCUUUCUAAACCUUACUUGUAUUGACAAUCUUGACCUCAAAUCAGGUAGGACUACCCGCUGAACUUAAGCAUAUCAAUAAGCGGAGGA